rnacentral:tRNA from 1 species
GGGGAUAUAGCUCAGUUGGCUAGAGCGCCGGCUUUGCAAGCCGGAAGUCGUGAGUUCAAGUCUCAUUAUCUCCA